CAUGUACGAAAUCCAUACAGAAGUGUGUGUGUAUUCUAUACUUUUGAAACAACCAAAUCAGACUUCGGAAAAUUUGACAGUAUUAAAGCUGCUUUUGAGAAUUUAGAUUUUAGGUCUUCGUUUUACUUGUACCCAGUAAAUAUUUUUGAGUUUUGAAUUUUGAUUCUCACAAGCUUACAAUUUGUUUACAAUUUACUCUGCCUCUGGCUCUGCCGUGCUGCACGGCAGAGUUGAUCGGAAUUGUAACAAAUACGCGUACACUUACACCCGUUUUCAAAAUUACGCGACCAAGGACGAAAAUGCUAGAGUUGACAUGUCAGUUUUAUGUCAUUCGGUCACGAAGUUUAAAUUUGAGUUUUGCGG